AUACCAGCCCCGCGAGUGGUCGGGGUGUUUACUGGGCCUAAAGCGCCCGUAGCCGGCCCGGCAAGUCCCCCCUGAAAUCCCCGGGCUCAACCCGGGGGCUGGGGGGGAUACUGCCGGGCUUGGGGGCGGGAGAGGCCGAGGGUACUCCCGGGGUAGGGGCGAAAUCCGAUAAUCCCGGGAGGACCACCAGUGGCGAAGGCGCUCGGCUGGAACGCGCCCGACGGUGAGGGGCGAAAGCUGGGGGAGCAAAGGGGAUUAGAAACCCUAGUAGUCC
rnacentral:rRNA from 1 species